rnacentral:lncRNA from 1 species
AUAUUUCUAAUUUUAAUAAAAUAAAAUACAGAAAAAAAAAUGCAAUGGAUGGUGGAGACAUGUAUCGAUGAAAGAAUGAGAAAGAUGAAUAUGAUUGAAGGAGAUGAUGAGAAAAGUAUUGAUGAAGGAUAUGUGUAUGUAUGAAUGAAGUAAAUAAGUAUAGAUGAAGACGGUGAGUACAGUAAAAAAGAUAAGUGUGGAUGAAAAUGAUGAACAGAGAUAAAGAAGAUGAGUGUUUGUGAAAAUGAAGAAAGUGGGAAGAUUUAUGAGUCUUUAUGGAAAAUAUUUAUAUAUAAAGCGACAUAUGAGAAGAUUUGUUCAUAUUUAAAUUUAAACUUUUAGAUUAAAAUAAUUUAUAACUUUGUUUCGUUGUCAUGCACAAAUUCAUAACA